GUGAGUCUUCUCAGCAAAGUUGGUGAGGAACCUUCUUUCCAACCUUAAUAGUCUAUCUUAAAAUUGCUGUUGGUGUUAGCAGUAUGUAAAUUCUACUCUGUGCUCACACGAUCUAAAAUUGGAAUGGGAAACCUCAUUGUCAUUUUGGCUGAUUCAAGGUUUCAAAUGGAGCCAUUAUAUGUACUCCCAUUGCUGGUAUACAUCUGGGUAUACCGACCAGCAUCCUUUUCCAUUGUUUUAACUUUUAUGCAACGCUGUUUUUUUUUUGGUUAUAUUUUCAUUUAGCCUCUUAAAUUAAUGGGAACUUCUAUCUAUCUGUCAUGCAGGGCUGGGACAUCUGGUUGCAAAAAAUGAAGAUGAAUAUGUCCAGUUGGCUCUACAGCUUGCCUCAGACAUACCAGCUCUCUCAAACUUGAGAAUGAGUCUCAGAGAUCUUAUGUCUAAGUCUCCCGUCUGUGAUGGAGCAAGCUUUGCACUUGGUUUAGAGUCCAUAUACCGGGACAUGUGGCAUAGAUAUUGUAAAGGUGAUGUGCCAUCUUUAAAGCGCAUGGAACUGCUUCGAGAGGAGGGUAUUUCUGAAGCAGCAACUAUCAAAAACUCCAAGCCAGCAAGUAUCCCAGAGGGCCUUCCUGAAUCUGUCAAGGCAAAUGGAUUCAUAGCAGUUGGUGAAUCACUCUUUGAGGACAAUGGGAGUCAGUCAGUUGAAUCAUACUUCAAACAAGCUGAGCUGAAACUGAAUUGGAUCUAGGUGGUUCAUGUAACGUGUGUGUGGAGACAUGCUUGGAAUGUAUCUACAUGAUAGAAAAAGCCUCCUGUGUGUAUAAUAUUUGUGGCUGUGUCCUGCAGAGUUUAAACGAGGUGUAGAAUGCAGUGGCAACCCUAUAUUUCCUAUUACAGGAUCAAAUUCUUUGGGAAAGAGUACGGGCGAUUGGUGGUAUCUUGGAUCUUUUUAGUUUAUUCUUCAUGCCAGAGUACAGUGAAUUGGAAGAGAGAAUCUGUGAGCUGUAGCAAGUAGGCACCUGCAUCACAUUUUUUUCGCCAUGGAUCAUAUCAUAGAAUUUAGCGGUGGCAUGUAAAUCGUAAGGAGAGUUUUUCCUUCUUUUUAAGAUAUUUAAAUGGCUGGAUUAGAUUGCCAGAGAGGGAGUUUGUAAUUCAGUAUUUGUAUGGAAAAGAUCCUGUGAUCUCACUGAUAGUGAAUAUGGUGAAAUAGAGCAAAUAUCAAUCACAUGAUUUACUUAAGUGCUGUUCUCAGUUGCAGGCUUUAGCAU
rnacentral:misc_RNA from 1 species